UUAAGUUCAGCGGGUAUCCCUACCUGAUCCGAGGUCAAACAUAGAAAUGGGGGGUUCUGGCUAGUCACCGAGAGACCCUAUAGCGAGAGCAUUACUACGCUUAGAGCCAGACGGCACCGCCACUGAUUUUAAGGGCCGCGAGACCGCGGACCCCAAGACAAGCCAAGCUUGAGUUGUUUUAAUGACGCUCGAACAGGCAU
rnacentral:misc_RNA from 1 species